rnacentral:rRNA from 1 species
UACGAAGGGGGCUAGGCGUUGCUCGGAAUCACUGGGCGUAAAGCGCACGUAGGCGGAUUGUUAAGUCAGGGGUGAAAUCCUGGAGCUCAACUCCAGAACUGCCUUUGAUACUGGCGAUCUCGAGUCCGGGAGAGGUGAGUGGAACUGCGAGUGUAGAGGUGAAAUUCGUAGAUAUUCGCAAGAACACCAGUGGCGAAGGCGGCUCACUGGCCCGGUACUGACGCUGAGGCACGAAAGCGUGGGGAGCAAACAGG